rnacentral:rRNA from 1 species
UAACAGAGGGGGCAAGCGUUGUUCGGAAUUACUGGGCGUAAAGGGCGCGUAGGCGGCCUGCUAAGUCGAACGUGAAAGUCCCUGGGCUCAACCCAGGAACUGCGUCCGAUACUGGUUGGCUUGAAUCCGGGAGAGGGACGUGGAAUUCCAGGUGUAGCGGUGAAAUGCGUAGAUAUCUGGAGGAACACCGGUGGCGAAGGCGACGUCCUGGACCGGCAUUGACGCUGAGGCGCGAAAGCCAGGGGAGCAAACGGG